CUCCAGAUGCUUGAUCUUAGCAACAAUAAUUUGCAAGGAAUCAUUCCAAGUGAGAUUGGAAAAUUGACAAACCUCCAGCACCUUGAUCUUCGCAGCAACAAUUUGCAAGGAAUCAUUCCAAGUGAAAUCGGAAGCUUGACAAACCUCCAGAGCCUUGUUCUUAGCAGCAACAAUU